AUAUUGCGCAAUGGGGGCAACCCUGACGCAGCGACGCCGCGUGUGUGAUGAAGGCCUUCGGGUCGUAAAGCACUGUCGAGCGGAAAGAAUGCGGCACGGCCAAUACCCGUGCCGAUGACGGUACCGCUUGAGGAAGCACCGGCUAACUCCGUGCCAGCAGCCGCGGUAAUACGGAGGGUGCGAGCGUUGUUCGGAAUCAUUGGGCGUAAAGGGCGCGUAGGCGGGUCGUUAAGUCCGAUGUGAAAUCCCUCGGCUCAACUGAGGAAGUGCAUCGGAUACUGGCGGUCUUGAGUCCUGGAGAGGGUAGCGGAAUUCCCAGUGUAGAGGUGAAAUUCGUAGAUAUUGGGAGGAACACCGGUGGCGAAGGCGGCUACCUGGACAGUGACUGACGCUGAGGCGCGAAAGCAUGGGUAGCAAACAGG
rnacentral:rRNA from 1 species